rnacentral:rRNA from 1 species
UACGUAGGGUGCGAGCGUUAAUCGGAAUUACUGGGCGUAAAGCGUGCGCAGGCGGUUUUGCAAGCCGGAUGUGAAAUCCCCGGGCUUAACCUGGGAAUGGCAUUUGGGACUGCAAGGCUGGAGUGCGGCAGAGGAGACUGGAAUUCCUGGUGUAGCAGUGGAAUGCGUAGAUAUCAGGAGGAACACCGGUGGCGAAGGCGGUUCUCUGGGCCUUACCUGACGCUGAGGAGCGAAAGCGUGGGGAGCGAACAGG